GUUGUUGCAACUUUGUGAGAUCCUGGGGAAGGUGCUGAGACUUUGGCUCGGGCCGGUUUCCCGGUCUCUGGAUCUUUGCAGGGAUUCCCUGAGCCGCAUCCUCUCUUCCCUCCACGCGCACUCGCGGGUCCUCGGAGCCCGCUGCCCUCUCUGUCCUGGCCCCUCGGCCUACUCACCCGUCCCGUCCCCUUCAGUUCCCCCCAGCCUGCACGGGGAAGACUUGCUGAGGGUCGCCCCGGUUUCUUGUCGACUGCAGAACCCGAAAGUUUGUAAGAGGAAGAGAGCGCGCGGCGAGCGAGCGAGCGGGCCGGGGGCAGCGGCAGCGGCGCCGGGGACCAUGGUGCUGCCGGCGCCUCCUCCGCGGGCGUGAAGGCGGCGCUCCUACUCCCUCCCCGGACUCCGCGGUGUCCCAGAAGCUUUUGUUGACAAUUCCAGUUUCCGAACAAAACAUUUCGGCAAUGGUGAGGGCUUCGAUCCCUUCUCUGAUUUGCUGUCAGCCAUGAACGGAUGGAUGUGAUGCCUGCUAGCCAAAAGG
rnacentral:sRNA from 1 species